CACGGCAUCGUCGGUGAGGACAUUUAGUCGCCCGCGAACAGUACGUAAGCGGUCUUCAUUGCCCUUGACUACGUAAAGAUGGCGUCUUAGUUGGAAAAGCCCAUUGUAUUUUAAACCAAUCAAAAACAGCAUAUUUUAAGCCACUAAUGUGCAAAUGAUCCAGGGGAAGCGGGGUUUUGGCCUUGAGGACAGAAAACGGCAUCAAUUUUGCUAAAAUUCUCGAGAAAAUCGACCUAUAAUGAUGGCAAUCGAAUUCCCCCUCGAUAAAAAUAUUACCCAUUUAGCUAGGAAUGGCUUCAUUUUGCUGUCUUGUCGGAGUUUUUUAAGGAAAUCUGAGGGUAACUGGUCGAAGUAUUAGCUCUCAUGAAUGGAAUCACGAGAUUACGCCGUUUCUUCUCAGGAAUAACGUUCCUGUUAGCCGGUGCAACGAUCACGUAGUGAUCUUGGAUGAUGGCUUUGAGGCGAUUUGUAGCCGGCUUUGUUUGGCUGUGCGUACGGUGCAGGGCCUGAAGCUCAUGGUGGAUUGAUUCGCCUCCCUGCUCCCCGAAAAAGCCCAAAUGGAAUCUCCAGCGCCUGAUGAAUUUCCACGACGUGGUGCUCCAGCAUGUGUAACUUGGGAGGGAAAGACUCAUCAGGAAAUGUUUCGCGGUAGUAACCACAUAGUAGUUUGAUAUCUUGCUCUGUUGGCGAAAAAUAAGUCAAAAUAGGUUUGAAUAUUCAGGUUGUAGAAUGGCACUAUUUCAAUUCGUAUUUACCCAGAAUUGAUAACUGUUCUUGGGACAUCGGGGUCGCAGAAUUGUACUUGAAGUGGCAAACACUGAAUAAGCUGAACAACUGUUGGAAUUUUGCCUUGACAGUUCUUGCCUGGCCAAGUAGUUCUGGACACUCAGUCUGGCAGACCUCAAUGACUCUGUGGCAAACGGCUUCAAUAUUCUUGGGCUUUGUGAACAAAAUGUGGACAAAAUCCAGUUACUAAACCACCUGUCGUAGCGAAACAAAUACUUUAAGAUAUGUUGCUAUUUCAACCAAUUAUUUCGUUUCUAACAAAGGAUUAAUUUAGAUUUUUAUAAAUAAAAACCUACCGCGUAA